AAUCCUGUAGAUUCUUCAAUUCAAAUGUAUCAUCUGGAGGGUGAGGAUAAUAUGAGAGCUCGGUGCCAUAAUGUUCCUAUUGAAGCUUUUUAGAUCUCCAGUCAAUCUAGUAAAUGACUUGGUUUUACUAACUUACUUACUUACUUACCGUGCCAACUUGGUGCAGGAGACAUGAUAGCCAUAAGCACUGGUCUAGAACUGAGGCCCUUUUAGGCAUCAGAAGAAAUAAAGAGCCUCUUGUGAAGCGAUCACCACCACUCAGAGAUGAUAAGUUGAUUUAAAAGAAUAAAGGUUUUCACCGGAGUACCCCUUUAAGGCCAAAAUUGGUAUAGUCCUGAAGAGGUAACAACAAAAAAGAAUAAAAAACAAA